GCGGGAAUGGCGAAAUUGGUAGACGCACCAGAUUUAGGUUCUGGCGCCGAGAGGUGUAGGAGUUCAAGUCUCCUUUCCCGCACCA
rnacentral:tRNA from 4 species